GCACUGCUAGUUCAGCAGUAGAAUUCUCCCCUUACAUGCGGGAGACGCAGGUUCAAUUCCUGGCCAAUGUA
rnacentral:tRNA from 1 species